rnacentral:rRNA from 1 species
UACGAAGGGUGCAAACGUUGCUCGGAAUGACUGGGCGUAAAGGGCGCGUAGGCGGCUUGCACAGUCAGGCGUGAAAUUCCUGGGCUCAACCUGGGGACUGCGCUUGAGACGUGUGGGCUUGAGUGGGGAAGAGGGUCGUGGAAUUCCCAGUGUAGAGGUGAAAUUCGUAGAUAUUGGGAAGAACACCGGUGGCGAAGGCGGCGACCUGGUCCUUGACUGACGCUGAGGCGCGAAAGCGUGGGGAGCAAACAGG